UGUAAAUGGUUUAAGUAUAGUGAAAACUCCAGCACACAGAAGCCUCUUGUGGUGUAACACUGGUAGUGAACAAAGCUAUGCACACAAGGCAGCUUAGAUUUUAAACUCUGCAGCUACACUUGUAAUUGUCACAGACACGUCAGGCUCCACCGCUCACCAAUCACAGCGCACCCAGUCACCAGAGUACUGAUCACCGACACCUGCACCUCAUUAAGACUCCCAGUGAUCUACUUACCUGUCUCCAGUAUUCUCCUCGUGUGUUAUCUCCUCUCUGUGUGAGUGCUCCUCGUCUCCAGCGUCUCCAGCGUCUCCAUGUUCGACUCCACCUGAAACCACAAAGGACUCCAUCAUCACUUUGCACUUCAAGAACCUGCACUGCUUCACGUAUUACUCACCUGCACUUCUGCCUUAACUCAUACUGGUUCUCAAUAAAGCUCCAUCUCCUGUUAAAGACUAUCUCUGUCCCUUCUGUAUUGUAACAGAAGACCGGACCAUAACAGUGUGAGACCAGUAUGAGUUCCCCGGAUCUAUUCCAAGAGCUCGUGGAUGUUCUCCAACGAGCUCUCACCUCCAGCGCACCUCCACCGUCACCAACCAUCACUUCCGCAAACACCGUCACCUCUCCAGACCAGCGCCCUCAGGAUCGGCGGAGGACUGCAGCGGUUUCCUCCUGCAGUGUGCACUGGUCCUGGAGAUGCAACCGCACCUCUACCCCACCGACACAUCCAAGGUAGCGUUCAUUAUUUCCCAGUUGCAAGGCAAAGCGUUACAGUGGGCUGAAUCCAUCUGGUCUCAAAAUGGUCCCGUCACACGUUCAUAUGCCUCCUUCGUGUCCCACUUCCAGGAAGUGUUCGGCAAUGGCACGUCACUCCUCUCUUCAUCAGUCUGCAUUGGCUGCCAGUAGCUGCUCGCAUCCAAUUCAAGACUCUGAUGUUUGCCUACAGAACGACCGCUGGCUCUGCACCGCCAUACCUUAACUCGCUACUUCAGACUUAUGCGCCCUCCAGAAAUUUGCGUUCUGCAAGUGAACGGCGGCUUGUGGUGCCAUCACAAAGGGGCACAAAAUCACUCUCACGAACCUUCUCCGGGUCUGUUCCUGGCUGGUGGAAUGACCUGCCAUGCUCUAUCCGAGCAGCUGAAUCUUUAGCCACUUUCAAAAAAAUGCUAAAGACGUAUCUUUUUCGUCAGCACUUGACCCAGUAAUAGUAGCACUUACCUCAAUUUCUAUUUUCAUUCCAUCUAUUUGUGUAUUU